AUGCCAGCGGCCCCGUCGCCCGUCGCCCGACCCGUCCCACCUCGCACCCGCAGGCCUCCGCAUGCUACCAAGCCCGUCUCCCAUCUCCCCCACCCGCCUCCGCAUGCGCCGCGCCAGCUUCUGCACAUCGUACCUCGCCGGCCACCGCGGGCGGCUGCUACUCCGACCAUGUCCGCCAUCAUCCUCUGUUGCUCCGGCCAAGCUGUAUGCACGACGCCAGACACGUUAUACGAAGGACGCCAGACUCGUUGUACGAAGGACGUCGGGCUCGCUGGAGGACAGACACGCUGCUCGCCGGACACCGGACUGACGCUUUUUUUAUUAAUUGAAAAUAAACUUUGCCGUAUGUUGACUGUGUGGUUGACGGCAAAACUAUUGGGGGCCCACCUCCUAACAAAAAACUGUAAAACCCUACUUUGCCGUCUGCCGCAGAUAAAAACUUGA
rnacentral:rRNA from 1 species